UACGUAGGGUGCAAGCGUUAUCCGGAAUUAUUGGGCGUAAAGAGCUCGUAGGCGGUUUGUCGCGUCUGCUGUGAAAACCCGAGGCUCAACCUCGGGCCUGCAGUGGGUACGGGCAGACUAGAGUGGCGGUAGGGGAGAUUGGAAUUCCUGGUGUAGCGGUGGAAUGCGCAGAUAUCAGGAGGAACACCGAUGGCGAAGGCAGAUCUCUGGGCCAUAACUGACGCUGAGAAGCGAAAGCAUGGGGAGCGAACAGG
rnacentral:rRNA from 1 species